rnacentral:tRNA from 1 species
GUUGAGCUAGUUUAACUAAAAAUCUUAGUUUGUGGCACUAAAGAUGAGUAUAAUUAUUCGUUCAACU